GAUGAACGCUGGCGGCGUGCCUAAUACAUGCAAGUCGAGCGAACAGACGAGGAGCUUGCUCCUCUGACGUUAGCGGCGGACGGGUGAGUAACACGUGGAUAACCUACCUAUAAGACUGGGAUAACUUCGGGAAACCGGAGCUAAUACCGGAUAACAUGUUGAACCGCAUGGUUCAACAGUGAAAGACGGUUUUGCUGUCACAUAUAGAUGGAUCCGCGCCGCAUUAGCUAGUUGGUAAGGUAACGGCUUACCAAGGCAACGAUGCGUAGCCGACCUGAGAGGGUGAUCGGCCACACUGGAACUGAGACACGGUCCAGACUCCUACGGGAGGCAGCAGUAGGGAAUCUUCCGCAAUGGGCGAAAGCCUGACGGAGCAACGCCGCGUGAGUGAAGAAGGUCUUCGGAUCGUAAAACUCUGUUAUUAGGGAAGAACAAAUGUGUAAGUAACUAUGCACGUCUUGACGGUACCUAAUCAGAAAGCCACGGCUAACUACGUG
rnacentral:rRNA from 1 species